GGUGGUUAACCAUUAUGGUUUGCCUGGGACUGAGGGGUUUUCCUGGCCUGGGAAAAUCAGUGCUAAAACCAG
rnacentral:pre_miRNA from 14 species